CAGCCGCCGCGGUAAAACGUAGGUGGCAAGCGUUGUCCGGAAUUAUUGGGCGCAAAGCGCGCGCAGGCGGAUAGGUCAGUCUGUCUUAAAAGUUCGGGGCUUAACCCCGUGAUGGGAUGGAAACUGCCAAUCUAGAGUAUCGGAGAGGAAAGUGGAAUUCCUAGUGUAGCGGUGAAAUGCGUAGAUAUUAGGAAGAACACCAGUGGCGAAGGCGACUUUCUGGACGAAAACUGACGCUGAGGCUCGAAAGCCAGGGGAGCGAACGGGAUUAGAUACCCCAGUAGUCCCUGUCUCUUAUACA
rnacentral:rRNA from 1 species